CUGCCCUCCGAAGGCAGAGGCCAGAGGUUCGAAUCCUCUAGGGUCCGCCA
rnacentral:tRNA from 1 species